CGAGCCGCAUACACGUCUGGCUCCUAUGGAUAUCCACUGGGAUCGAUCUCGAAUUGAUUUCUCCUUGUAGAAGAUUUUUCUUCCCAAGAAGAAUCUUAGCCUUGAAUACUUUGAUCAACGUCUUGAUCUGGACUGCAAGAUCAACUCCUUGAUCAGCAGCCUUCUUCUUCUUCUCCUUAAUUUUCACUCAGAGGCCCUAAAGCAGGUAACUUCAAUUCCCUGGCUAAAGAAACGAAUGUAAAAACUCUACUAGAAAGUUUAGAGUCACUCUAUUGACAGUCCAAGGAAAGAUGUAAGCA
rnacentral:lncRNA from 1 species